rnacentral:ncRNA from 1 species
UAAAAAUGUUUAUAGUUUUAAUAAUUUAUUUAAAAUUUAUUUUACAUAUAAAUUUUAGUGUUAAGUUUUAAUUUAUUUUAAUAAUAAAUUAAAUUAAUAUUGUAGUAAUUAAUAUUAAAAUAUUUAAGAAAUUAAGAUUUAAUAAUAUUUAAAUUAAUAACAAAUUUUGUGCCAGCAGUUGCGGUUAAACAAAAAUUGAAUUAAAUUUUAUUAGUAAUUAAUUAAUAAAUUAAUUUAUAAUUUAAAUUUUAAAUUAUUAGGUGAAAUUUUAAUUUAAUAAAAUAUUAUAAUAGUUUUAUGAUUUAAUAACUUUUAUUAAAGACUAGGAUUAGAUACCCUAUUAUGAAAAAUUUUAAAUUUAACAUACUAAAAUAGUAGAUGAUUAUUCAUUGAAACUUAAAUAAGUUGGCGGUAUUUUAGUUCAUUUAGAGGAAUCUGUUUAAUAAUUGAUAUUCCACGAAUAAAUUUACUUAAUUUAUAAUUUUGUAUAUCGUUGUUAUAAAAAUAUUUUUUAAUAAUGUUAAUAUUUAAAAAUUUAUAAUAUAAAUUAAAUCAGAUCAAGAUGCAGAUUAUAAUUAAGAAUAUAAUGGAUUACAAUAAUUUUAUUUAGAUGAAUUUUAAUUUGAAAAAAUUAAUUGAAAGUGGAUUUAAAUGUAAUUUUAUUUAAUUUAAUAAAAUGAUUAUAAAUUGAAAUAUGUACAUAUUGCCCGUCGCUUUCAUAUAAAUAAAAAUUGAAAUAAGUCGUAACAAAGUAGAGGUACUGGAAAGUGUUUCUAGAAAGA